GGGGGCGAUGUGGCUUCGACAGGGAUAAAGAGAUCAGGGCUGCAUAUCAAGGGUGGCUGGAUACCUUGUAAAUCCAUCCAGCGAUAAAGUUAAGCGCCAACCCAGUAUUGGCUGCUAGCCCCAUUUGUCUCAAUUAGGGCUACGUCCCUCUAUUUCUGCUCUACGAAAUAGAGAAGGGCGUAAGAGAGUAGAGCUAGCCUGUCCUUGAGCAAGGCGAGGAUAGGUGAAUCUUAGACCUUGCUGGUCUUUUCUCUAUCCCGUCUACAGGAGAGGGGAAAGACGAGAUCAAAAUGUAGACUAAAUAUGUAGAUGUCCUGACGUCUUUAUCUCUGGACGAGGGUUCGAUUCCCUCCGCCUCCACCA
rnacentral:tmRNA from 1 species